rnacentral:lncRNA from 1 species
AUGACACCGCAGGGCCCUCGGGGGCCCGGCCCCAGGAAUUGGACUGGACUGAUCUGCUGCCCACAGGACGGCUGCUAUCGGCUCAUCUCUGCUGAGAAUGAGAUCCCUCAACCGACCUUCACCAGAUCCCUAUCUCCGUGCUCCAGAGGACUGCACCCAGGCAUCAGACCGUACGGGUCUAUCUACAGUGGACAUCACUCCUCCCCGGGGACCCGUUCUGAUGGGAAGAUCUGGUUCCACACCAGCACUAAACCCCGGCCCCCAGGAAGCUUCUGGGUCCCUCUUGAUUGAAAACCGCCCGGAGAGGUAUCACUUCACACGCCGGAUGCACGAACAGAGUGACAAACAGACGUAGCCGUAACACCUCGCGACGGAAUAUGUUGUUUCAUUUAUGUGUGUUUAUUUUUCGCCGUUUCAUUUUGUACAGUAUCCAGAUAUUGUCUGGAUAGGUUUGAUUUUUAUUGUUAUUUAAUUCCUUUUGCG